AUUGAAGCACCAGUUUCCAUAUGAUCAUCAGAGUUAAGCAAUGUCAAGCCUGGUCAGUACCUAGAUGGGUAGCCACUUGGGAAUACCAGGUGCU